rnacentral:lncRNA from 1 species
CUUUACCUGAAGUGAGUUUAUCUUUACCUUUAGUUUGAGUUUAUCUCGUACCUUUACCUUGAUGAGUUUAUCUCUUAUCUAUAUCUUGAUUGAAUGUAUAUCUUAUCUUUAUCUUGAUUAUUAUAAAGUCCUAAGAAUCUGUCCUUCUCUGUGCUUGUCGUGAGUAAAGAAUUGGACCACGUCAAUAGUACAGUUUAGGUAUUACAGUUAGGAUUUUUAUUACCUUUUACCUUUUGUGCAUACCCUCUACCACGAGUAGAUGCGGGCUUGCCAGUAUCUUUACCUUUUAGCAUACCCUAUACUAUGCGUAUAGUGCGCUUGCUAGUAUCUUUACCUAGAUUGUGUCUUCCUAUCGCUACGAAAGCAAGUAGACGUUAUGAAUUAUCUUUUACCUUGAGUUUUAGAUGUUGAUAUCCGGAACCAUAUCAUAUAUGUUUAGGUUUGUAGUAAUGUAGUGUUAACUGGUCCUAAUGAAUUAGUCCCUCAUUGAAUUCUGGGGUGAUUAAUAGAAUUUGUUCGCUCUAGUGUCAAUGUUGGGUAAAGUUAAUAGGAUGCGUUUAGGUUAAUUGUUGUUUAUGGUUCUUGGUUAUAUUGUGUUAAGGGUUGUUAAUACACACCUGUAAUUUAGUUUUAAUCAUGGGUUUACUAACACUUGAGAAUGUAGAUAGUAAGUAGUGUUAAGAGUUAACUUACUCUAUAAGGUUGUAUAAUUAUAUUUAGAAUGUUAGUGAUUAACGCGUAAUUAUUUGUUUUUCUCUAUCUUUGGUUUUACUAAAUUAAAGUAAAUUAUCUUGUUGAAUAACUUAUGUCAGUCAGUUACGUAUGUCGGUUAGCUACACAUCCCUUCUAUGUUCUAUACUUUCUGCAAAUACCAUUAAAGAUAUCUCGCGUGGCCUCUAUACUGUCUGUAUGACUUCGUCCUGAUUUUUGUUCUGUCUCCUCAGCAAAUAGUAUGGCUGUUGAGCCUACCAUAAUUAUGGUUUUAUACCACAACGUUUCUCCUUUACCGUGUCCAUCCUCAGGUUCGCCUAGCGUCAGUUAGUUCUGGAAAAUAAAAAAAAGGAAACUUGUAGAGUUUUCCUUUUUUUUGCUGGAGAAGAGGGAGAAUGUAGCGAUCACGCUACUAAUUAAAUUACUUUAAUUAAAAUUGGAUUAAAAUAUACCCCUCUACAAAAACCUUGGGUGACGCCCGCGAAGAUCCAACACCGAUUUUUCGGUGCACAGGCGCGCCAAUAGAAAGAAAAUCGAUGAUUGUCGAUUUCGAGUUUAGUUGGUCACGAACUCAGAAAGAGGCAACACAUCGUCAUUACUUAGGUGACGGAGUUUGGGCAAAAUUGGGAAAAUAUAUAACUAAAAGACCUCGAACAUCAGCCAAUAACCCAUAUUUAGCAGUAGUUAUAUCUGGAAACUUAUUUACAAGAAAGGAAAAAGGUUAUAAUACCGCCGAUGUGUUGCUUUGCUCAAAUUCCGUCCCGUAGCUACUUGUCACAUAGACACUUAGCCUAGUCAAUUUAGAUAGAUUGUAUCAUCAUUUAAUGUGCCAUCAUAUAAAUAUGUGCCAGUUACUGUAAGCAGCUAGGGUAUGGGUUACCCCUAAAGUUACUUUUGAUUGGAUUGGAUAGUACCUAUUUCACAACAUCCAGGAUUGGAUUUAUCACCACAGCAGCCCACUAGUUUUGCCGUGCCAAGAGGAAAUUCAUUCCUAUCUGGACCUUUUUAAAUAGGACUUGUGGUUAAGAUAAGUUGUUUAAUCUUAUUAUUUACAUAUUUUGGGUACUCUAUAGUUGCUUGCACUGUAAACUUCUUGUAUGCAUACAAUUGAGGUAAACUAGGUACAUAUUUCUUGAUAGAUAGGGUUUUAGGUCGUUGGUUUUUUUUGAUUUAAUAUAAGUAGUAGUUUCCAAUAAAUAAAAUUAGGUCUUGUUCAAUAAUCAUUAUAAAUAAUAAUUGUAGCUUAAAAAUUUGAUAGGGAAGGGGUCGUUAAAGGUUUGUCGCGGAUUUCAAAUAGGGAAUAUGUUUUGUAGGUUUUUACAUUGUAUAUAAAGAGUAACUGACCAACUCAUUUAUACAACUCAUUUAUAUCACUCAUUUAUAUAACUCAUUUAUAUAACUCAUUUAUAUAACUCAUUAUAUAUUUACUUAUUAGUGUUUUUGGCUAGGUGAGAUCUUUAUUAUUUUUGGUAACCGUAGCGUUCUUGUUGUGGAUCUCACUCUAGCGUAGUUCAAUUUAGGAAAUAAUUACUAACUUUUUAGUUGUAAGGACUUAGUGCUAUUCUGACGGACUUUUGCUUUGGAUUUUGAUUUUAAUACCUUUGCUUGGCCAGUGAUAGUGGAUAAUUGCUUGUUAAGUGGCCUUUGCGGUCCUAUUUGAUCUUUUCCCCAUCCACUAUCACUGUUAUCACGUUGCGUUAUAUGUAAAUUGUUAGUAUUUAACAUUUAUCAUUAAUAUAUUUGUAUGUAUUAA